rnacentral:rRNA from 1 species
CGUAACACGUAAGCAACCUACCUCGGUGUGGGGCAUAGCCGGUCUAACGACCGGGUAAUUCCGCAUACGCUCUUGGAAGUUCAUGCUUCCGAGAUGAAACCAGUAAUGGGCACUGAGAGGGGCUUGCGGCCUAUCAGCUUGUUGGCGAGGUAACGGCUCACCAAGGCGACGACGGGUAGCUGGUCUGAGAGGAUGGCCAGCCACAUUGGGACUGAGAUACGGCCCAG